rnacentral:rRNA from 1 species
CUGAAACUCGCCUACAUGAAGCUGGAGUUGCUAGUAAUCGCGAAUCAGCAUGUCGCGGUGAAUACGUUCCCGGGCCUUGUACACACCGCCCGUCACACCAUGAGAGUUGGCAAUACCCAACGUACGUGAUCUAACCCGCAAAGGAGGAAGCGUCCUAAGGUAGGGUCAGCGAUUGGGUGAAGUCGUAACAAGGUAUC